CCUACGGGAGGCAGCAGUGGGGAAUAUUGCACAAUGGGGGGAACCCUGAUGCAGCGACGCCACGUGGAUGAAGGAGUAUUUCGGUAUGUAAAGCCCUAUCAGCAGGGAAGAACAAUGACGGUACCUGACCACGAAGCACCGGCUAAAUACGUGCCAGCAGCCGCGGUAAUACGUAUGGUGGAAGCGUUAUCCGGAUUUACUGGGUGUAAAGGGAGCGCAGGCGGCGCGGUAAGCCUGGUGUGAAAGCCCGCGGCCCAACCGCGGGACUGCAUUGGGAACUGGCGCGCUGGAGUGCCGGAGGGGUAGGCGGAAUUCCUGGUGUAGCGGUGAAAUGCGUAGAUAUUAGGAGGAACACCAGUGGCGAAGGCGGGCUACUGGACGGUGACUGACGCUGAGGCUCGAAAGCGUGGGGAGCAAACAGGAUUAGAUACCCGUGUAGUC
rnacentral:rRNA from 1 species